GACGAACGCUGGCGGCGUGCUUAACACAUGCAAGUCGAACGGAAAGGCCCUGCUUUUGUGGGGUGCUCGAGUGGCGAACGGGUGAGUAACACGUGAGUAACCUGCCCUUGACUUUGGGAUAACUUCAGGAAACUGGGGCUAAUACCGGAUAGGAGCUCCUGCUGCAUGGUGGGGGUUGGAAAGUUUCGGCGGUUGGGGAUGGACUCGCGGCUUAUCAGCUUGUUGGUGGGGUAGUGGCUUACCAAGGCUUUGACGGGUAGCCGGCCUGAGAGGGUGACCGGCCACAAUGGGACUGAGAUACGGCCCAGACUCCUACGGGAGGCAGCAGUGGGGAAUAUUGCACAAUGGGCGGAAGCCUGAUGCAGCAACGCCGCGUGCGGGAUGACGGCCUUCGGGUUGUAAACCGCUUUCGCCUGUGACGAAGCGUGAGUGACGGUAAUGGGUAAAGAAGCACCGGCUAACCACGUG
rnacentral:rRNA from 1 species